GACGAACGCUGGCGGCGUGCUUAACACAUGCAAGUCGAACGAAAAGAGGGAAAGAGCUUGCUCUUUCCGGAAUUGAGUGGCAAACGGGUGAGUAACACGUAAACAACCUGCCUUCAGGAUGGGGACAACAGACGGAAACGACUGCUAAUACCGAAUAAGUUCCAAGGGCCGCAUGGCCCAUGGAAGAAAAGGUGGCCUCUACCUGUAAGCUAUCGCCUGAAGAGGGGUUUGCGUCUGAUUAGCUGGUUGGAGGGGUAACGGCCCACCAAGGCGACGAUCAGUAGCCGGUCUGAGAGGAUGAACGGCCACACUGGCACUGAGACACGGUCCAGACUCCUACGGGGGGCAGCAGUGGGGAAUCUUCCGCAAUAGGCGAAAGCCUGACGGAGCAACGCCGCGUGAGUGAUGACGGCCUUCGGGUUGUAAAACUCUGUGAUCCGGGACGAAAAGGCAGAGUGCGAAGAACAAACUGCAUUGACGGUACCGGAAAAGCAAGCCACGGCUAACUACGUG
rnacentral:rRNA from 1 species